AUAUCAGUCAUGCAUAGCAUAUCAAUAAGCGGAGGAAAAGAAACUAACAAGGAUUCCCUUAGUAACGGCGAGUGAAGCGGGAAGAGCUCAAAUUUGAAAUCUUCAAGGUUUUACCUUGACGAAUUGUAGUUUAAAGAAGUGUUUUCUGUUGAAGUUUUGGUAAAAGUUCUUUGGAAUAGGACAUCAUAGAGGGUGAGAAUCCCGUAUUUGACCAUUACUUUCAGCUUUGUGAUACACUUUCAAAGAGUCGGAUUGUUUGGGAAUGCAGUCCAAAAUGGGUGGUAAAUUUCAUCUAAAGCUAAAUAUUGGCGAGAGACCGAUAGCGAACAAGUACCGUGAGGGAAAGAUGAAAAGAACUUUGAAAAGAGAGUUAAACAGUACGUGAAAUUGUCAAAAGGGGAAGCGUUUGACACCAGUGUUGUUUUCUCGAAAAUCAAUUAAAAAGAGUUGGAUUUUGUGUUGUAUUGACUUUAUCAGGCUUUCUUCACUCUUUUCCAGCUUUUUUUAAUGCACUUUUCGUUUAACAAGUCAACAUCAGUUUCUUUUGUUGUAAAAAGGUCAUUGGAAGGUGGCUUUCUCUUCGGAGAAAGUGUUUAUAGCCUUUGACUCAUGCAAUCGGAGAGACUGAGGUCUGCAGCGUAGAUCCUUCGGGGUUAGAUACAUUUGUGCUAAGUUAUAGCUUUUCAUAGACAACUUGUUGACUAUGUUUAGUCUUGUAGCUUACUCGCUUAUGCUAUUUUACCUACGCUUAGGAUGUUGAACUCUAUCACACACAG
rnacentral:rRNA from 1 species